rnacentral:rRNA from 1 species
GACGAACGCUGGCGGCGUGCUUAACACAUGCAAGUCGAACGAAGUGGCGAACGGGUGAGUAACGCGUAAUCAACCUGCCCUUCAGAGGGGGACAACAGUUGGAAACGACUGCUAAUACCGCAUACUGAAGGAGGGGAUUGCGUCGGAUUAGCUAGGUGGAGGGGUAACGGCCCACCAAGGCGAUGAUCAGUAGCCGGUCUGGGAGGGUGGACGGCCAAAUUGGGACUGGGAAACGGCCCAGACUCCUACGGGGGGCAGCAGUGGGGAAUCUUCCGAAAUGGACGAAAGUCUGACGGAGCAACGCCGCGGGAGUGAUGACGGCCUUCGGGUUGUAAAGCUCUGUUAAUCGGGACGCGGUACCGGAAGAGAAAGCAACGGCUAACUACGUGCCAGCAGCCGCGGUAAUAC